rnacentral:rRNA from 1 species
AACCUGGUUGAUCCUGCCAGUAGUCAUAUGCUUGUCUCAAAGAUUAAGCCAUGCAUGUCUAAGUAUAAGCAAUUAUACCGUGAAACUGCGAAUGGCUCAUUAAAUCAGUUAUCGUUUAUUUGAUAGUACCUUACUACUUGGAUAACCGUGGUAAUUCUAGAGCUAAUACAUGCUAAAAACCCCAACUUCGGGAGGGGUGUAUUUAUUAGAUAAAAAACCAACGCCCUUCGGGGCUUCUUGGUGAUGCAUGAUAACUUAACGGAUCGCAUGGCCUUGCGCCGGCGACGGUUCAUUCAAAUUUCUGCCCUAUCAACUUUCGAUGGUAAGGUAUUGGCUUACCAUGGUUUCAACGGGUAACGGGGAAUUAGGGUUCGAUUCCGGAGAGGGAGCCUGAGAAACGGCUACCACAUCCAAGGAAGGCAGCAGGCGCGCAAAUUAUCCAAUCCCGACACGGGGGGAUAGUGACAAUAAAUACUGAUACAGGGCUCUUUUGGGUCUUGUAAUUGGAAUGAGUACAAUUUAAACCUCUUAACGAGGAACAAUUGGAGGGCAAGUCUGGUGCCAGCAGCCGCGGUAAUUCCAGCUCCAAUAGCGUAUAUUAAAGUUGUUGCAGUUAAAAAGCUCGUAGUUGAACCUUGGGUCUGGCUGGCAGGUCCGCCUCACCGCGUGUACUUGUCCGGCCGGGCCUUCCUUCUGGAGAACCUCAUGCCCUUCACUGGGCGUGUUGGGGACCAGAACUUUUACUUUGAAAAAAUUAGAGUGUUCAAAAGCAGGCCUUUGCUCGAAUACGUUAGCAUG